GACGUAGGGCGCGAGCGUUGUCCGGAAUCACUGGGCGUAAAGGGCGCGUAGGCGGCCCGCGCAAGCGUGCGGUGAAAGCCCGGGGCUCAACCCCGGGUCGGCCGUGCGGACUGCGGGGCUCGAGCACUGUAGGGGCAGAUGGAAUUCCGGGUGUAGCGGUGGAAUGCGUAGAGAUCCGGAAGAACACCGGUGGCGAAGGCGGUCUGCUGGGCAGUAGCUGACGCUGAGGCGCGACAGCGUGGGGAGCAAACAGG
rnacentral:rRNA from 1 species